rnacentral:lncRNA from 1 species
AGGAUAUCCAUCCUCUCCAUUGAUUAAACUCUACAAAGAAAAGGUAUGUGUUCUUUCACCCUCCCUCAAUUCAUUUUCAGUUUUAUUUAUUAUAAAUGUAAUUUUGGCGAUUUGAGGGAGUUUAGAAUAAUUCUUGUGCAUAUGGAUUGAUUGUGCUUGUGUUAUGCGAAACUUUGGAAUGAUUCUAAAUCAAAAUUCAUUCAAUUUCCACCAUUUCCACUCUAUGCUUGUAAUGUGUUUGAUAAAUUGCCACAUUGAUAAUUUUUGGGUAUUUUGAUAUAUUUUGCCUUAACUUCAUUUGAUUGAUGGAUGUGUAUGCGUUUGGUGAUUGUUUUUGAAUGGGGAACCAUGUGAACUAGUAAAUUUUUGGCUAGUAUAUGAAGGUCUCACAACGCAUACAACAUGUUCGAUAAAAUGCCAAUCUUGGUACUCUAAUACAUUUAUGAAACUCUAGCAUGGCAUUUGACUAUUCGAUGAAUGGAAUAACUCGUUGUGACGUAUUACCAAACAAUAUGACUUAGACAACAUUAACACACACAUGCACAAAAAAAUAGCUAAGUCAUAGCAUGCCCAUAGCACCCUCCGUCCCUUAUUUUACACUACUGUUUGACACACCAAACGACCUCCGAUUGAGCUGAAAUUUGGGUAUGUGCUAGACCACAUUGCAUACUUCCAUAUGCCCGGAGGUUGCCCGGGACAAUCUUGAUAAUUCUCAAUGUUGCCCGGGGCCGAAGGUGUACACUCAACCAUGACUCCAACCCUUUAACUAUGAGCAUAUUCUCCCAAAAUUUCCUUAUAUUUUCAUGUGGACUAUACAUUUAUACUACUCUAAUCAUCAUACAUUGUUCAUUACACCGUGGUAGUAUACAUGCUUAUUGAAACAAAUUUGGGGGAUUUGUGAUUUACGUGCUUUUCAUUUCAUGCGAUUUCUCAUUGUAUACCAAGAUGGCUAAUGCUAGCUAUUUUCCAACUUUGCAGGAUGCCACCAAAAAGAACUUCAAAAGGGAAGGAGAAUGUUGGCUCAUCAUCCGGCACAGCACGCACUCGCUUGCUUGAAGGAGGUAUACAAAGAUUUUUAACUGUCGAGGCAGCAGCCCGCUAUGAAAACAUAGUGAGUCGAUGGACAUUGACACCAGAACGGGCUGUUAAAUUGGAAGACUUUCCCGGUUUCGAGCUGACUACUUUGGUGCAGAACUGUGGUUGGAAUAAAAUAGUGGAGCAGCCACAUCAGAGUUAUGAAUUGUUGGUGGGGAAAUUUUACGCCAACUUCAAUACUGAAAUUGACACACCAGGGUCCGAUCACCUACAUCAGACUUGGGUCCGAGGAAAAUGGAUCACAUUCCCACCCGAAGUUAUUCAAGACUACUACCUGCUCACGUGGGAAAACAUAACGCCUAUACCAGGUGACUUCAAUUGGCCUGAAGUGGCGGAGAUCUUAUUGGGGCGACAGAAUGCAUGGCCACUCCCCACUACCGAGGGGCAUCAGAUUGAGCUUACACCGUCUAUAGCAAUCCAGUGGCUGUUUAUGUGCCACAACAUUGAGCCUACAUCUCACAGGACCACAUUCACAGAUCCCACAGCUGGAUUCCUUUAUCACUUGGUGCGAGAUAAUAAGGUUGAUCUUGCCACUCUUUGCUAUGAUCAGAUACAUCAUGUGGGUACUUUGGGAGAUAGACACAGCUCAAUGAUCUUCCCAAGCCUCAUCUCCGAAAUUUGCAUAGCUGCUGGUAUAAACAUUGUAUCCAGGGAGAGGGCUGCCAAACGCAACCCCACCAUAAAGCGCAGUACUUUGGAGGCCCAAGAUAGAGCCAGGUUAAAGCAUUGGGAGAAGCAAGAAAUUGAGAGGCGCAGACAGCAGGGAGAGCAAGGUCAUGAGCUAGCAGAGCAAGAAAUGCCUCAAGCUCCUCCAUCACAGGCUGAGUUAAAUGCACAAUUGUGGCGCCAGAUUUUCACCACCACCACGGGGACCAGCCGAGAUGUGCAGAGUCUCCAGCAGGCUAUGGGGACUUUGACGAUUGAGAUGCAUACAGCCCACCGUGACAUCCGCAUUUCCACUGAUAUGUCACGUGCUGCUCGCCAGGAUGCCCAGGCAGCUAGGAGGGAGAUGGACACUAUGAACGGUUGACUCAGUGUGUAUGUGGGCCGGGUGGAUGGCAUCCAGAUGAGGGUAAAUGAAACUUGGGAGCGUUUAGGCCGUUUGGAGACACGUGUUGAGGGAAUCCACGAUGAAAUGACACAGCAGUCAGCACUGAUGAGAUAGAUCUUGGCACGCCUACCUCCACCUCCAACUGAUGAUACUGCAGGAUCUAACUUUCCAUCGCAGCCCCCGUUUUGAUCAGGGGAGUAUCGUUUGCCUCAUUUGUAUUCAUUUUCCUUAAAUUCUGCCUUCUAAACUUAUUUUUCACAUUGUGGACAAUCUCUUGUAUAAGUUUGGGGGAUGGUGGCAUAAUUUGAUUAAGACAUUCGGCAUGUAGCUAAUUGCAUUUCCACAAUCUAGA